AGUUUAGUGGCGGACGGGUGAGUAACGCGUGGGCAACCUACCCAUAAGAGGGGGAUAACAGCUGGAAACGGCUGCUAAUGCCGCAUAAGCUUUUUAGGACGUAUGUUUUAGAAAGUAAAGGAGGCGCAAGCUUCCGCUUAUGGAUGGGCCCGCGUCUGAUUAGCUAGCUGGUAGGGUAGAGGCCUACCAAGGCAACGAUCAGUAGCCGGCCUGAGAGGGUGGACGGCCACACUGGGACUGAGAACGGCCCAGACUCCUACGGGAGGCAGCAGUGGGGAAUAUUGCGCAAUGGGGGAAACCCUGACGCAGCGACGCCGCGUGAGCGAAGAAGGCCUUCGGGUUGUAAAGCUCUGUUGUAAGGGACGAAUGUCUAGGGUAGUAACUGACCUUAGAAUGACGGUACCUUACCAGCAAGCCCCGGCUAACUACGUGCCAGCAGCCGCGGUAAGACGUAGGGGGCGAGCGUUGUCCGGAAUUACUGGGCGUAAAGAGCACGUAGGCGGAUGUAUAAGUCAGGUGUGAAAGACCGCAGCCUAACUGCGGGAUUGCACUUGAAACUGUAUAUCUUGAGGGCAGGAGAGGUCAGUAGAAUUCCUGGUGUAGCGGUGAAAUGCGUAGAAAUCAGGAGGAAUACCAGUGGCGAAGGCGACUGACUGGACUGACCCUGACGCUGAGGUGCGAAAGCGUGGGUAGCAAACAGGAUUAGAUACCCUGGUAGUCCACGCCGUAAACGAUGGAUACUAGGUGUGGGAGGUAUCGACCCCUUCCGUGCCGCAGCUAACGCAAUAAGUAUCCCGCCUGGGGAGUACGGUCGCAAGGCUGAAACUCAAAGGAAUUGACGGGGGCCCGCACAAGCGGUGGAGCAUGUGGUUUAAUUCGAUGCAACGCGAAGAACCUUACCAGGUCUUGACAUCUGUAGAACCCUGAUGAAAGUUAGGGGUGCCUUCGGGAGCUACAAGACAGGUGGUGCAUGGUUGUCGUCAGCUCGUGUCGUGAGAUGUUGGGUUAAGUCCCGCAACGAGCGCAACCCUUGCUAUUAGUUGCUAACAGGUAGAGCUGAGCACUCUAAUGGGACUGCCAGGGAUAACCUGGAGGAAGGCGGGGAUGACGUCAAAUCAUCAUGCCCCUUAUGACUUGGGCUACACACGUGCUACAAUGGCGUAAACAAAGAGAAGCAAAACCGCGAGGUCAAGCCAAUCUCAAAAAUAACGUCUCAGUUCGGAUUGUAGUCUGCAACUCGACUACAUGAAGCUGGAAUCGCUAGUAAUCGCGAAUCAGAAUGUCGCGGUGAAUACGUUCCCGGGUCUUGCACACACCGCCCGUCA
rnacentral:rRNA from 1 species